AAAUUACCAAGAUAUUUAAUGACAACUUUUCAUGCAAUGUUACUUGGGGUGACGUUUCUUUUGGCGGUUCAGUAUACACAGUUUCACGAGAUACAGAUAAUUUGCCGGUAUUUAUUGCAUUCGUGGUGUUGCCUGCACAAUCCUGGCCGACAUCACCGGGGCACCUCCAUUUUCAUUACGUUUCACAGCGCAUGUGCAGAACAAGCGAAGCGAUCAAUCACACUGACAUCAGGAAAGUUUUUGAGGCGGCGUUACCUGAGAAGUCUAACGAGUCCUGUAGACACUGAAGACUCUGUUACAACCCAAGGCACUGAACACAAAGGAUCCAGUGGCAGCUGUGCAGGCUUUAUCUGACUUUUUGGGACUACAGAGGAAUGAUGCCCUGUGCUGUGCAAUUGCUGAAAAAUGCCACUUCUCCAAUAUGAAAUCAGCCGAAGAUGCCCAUUCAAUGAAGAUUGAUGGUGCAAAUUAUCUUUUUGGGAAAGGCGUCUCUGGUUCUCUGCUUCCAUGCUGGACAACUAGUACAGGGUCUAUGAGGAGUAGAUGAAAGGAUCCAGAUUCUACGAGCGGUACAACAGAGAUAACGAUACACCCUUAUGCAAGGGUGGGAAUGGCAUGGUUACUGUGCUAUAAAUAAGCAAAACUUUAUAAAACAUAUUUGAUAAAUUUAGAUUAAUUCUAAA